AACGCGAAGAACCUUACCUGGUCUUGACAUCCUGGGAAUCCCGUAGAGAUAUGGGAGUGCCGCAAGGAGCCCAGAGACAGGUGCUGCAUGGCUGUCGUCAGCUCGUGUCGUGAGAUGUUGGGUUAAGUCCCGCAACGAGCGCAACCCUUGUCCUUAGUUGCCAGCAUUAAGUUGGGCACUCAGGUGAGACCGCCUCGGAUAACGGGGAGGAAGGCGGGGAUGACGUCAAGUCCUCAUGGCCUUUAUGUCCAGGGCUACACACGUGCUACAAUGGCCGGUACAAACCGUCGCAAACCCGUGAGGGGGAGCUAAUCGGAAAAAGCCGGCCUCAGUUCGGAUUGUAGUCUGCAACUCGACUACAUGAAGCUGGAAUCGCUAGUAAUCGCGGAUCAGAACGCCGCGGUGAAUACGUUCCCGGGCCUUGUACACACCGGACACGC
rnacentral:rRNA from 1 species